CAAAAAAGCUUAGAGGAUGAUUGCAAGGGAGACUUUCAUGGAGAGGGAGAGACUUAGAAAGUACGUGCCUAGAUUGCCUGACAGAAGGUAGAGACUGGCCUGGAGAGGGAGAGACUGAGAAAGUACGUGCCUAGAUUGCCUGACAGAAGGUAGAGACUGGCAUGGAGAGGGAGAGACUGAGAAAGUACGUGCCUAGAUUGCCUGACAGAAGGUAGAGACUGGCAUGGAGAGGGAGAGACUGAGAAAGUACGUGCCUAGAUUGCCUGGCAGAAGGUAGAGACUGGCAUGGAGAGGGAGAGACCUAGAUUGCCUGACAGAAGGUAGAGACUGGCCUGGAGAGGGAGAGACCUAGAUUGCCUGACAGAAGGUAGAGACUGGCAUGGAGAGGGAGAGACCUAGAUUGCCUGACAGAAGGUAGAGUCUGGCAUGGAGAGGGAGAGACCUAGAUUGCCUGACAGAAGGUAGAGACUGGCCUGGAGAGGGAGAGUCCUAGAUUGCCUGACAGAAGGUAGAGGCCUAAAAUGAGGUUGGUAGUAAAGAGAGGGAACACAUGGGAAGUGAGAACUGAUGGGAAGAAGCCAGACUAAGAAUAAUGUACUUAGGACAAGAGAUAGAGUGGGAUAAAGACUCAGGUAGGAUAAGGAUGACAGGACUAAAUAAUGAAAUAUAUUACACAGGAUGGACCCAAAAGAACGGAUUCAUGGAGCCCUCGGUGCACCGGGUGUGACAGGGGCACCUAUGGAGAGUUGACUAGGCAGUCGGCCUCAGGGACUAAAAUAACAAGUCCCUUUUGUAAGCAUUGCUUCUGCAACAUGACCUGUCAUAGAGAUAAGGGCAUAUGGUAUCGGGAGGAAGAAGAAGAAGCUUGGCCCUUUGAAAGCACAUUUACGCAGCUUAUGCUAGGAGGUAGAACAGUAGCUAAAGGGCUUACCAGAGACUGGAGGUUUGUAAAGAGCAGGCACCUCAUAGAUAGGGAGGAGAAACAGACAGGACCAGUAUGGGAUGGUACAGGCACAGGAUGGGAAGGCUCUAGCAAUAAAAUAUUUAGGCAACGAGGAAAAGCAGGAAAAGAGUCAAGGGAAGAUCUUGGAGAGGGGGGGGGGGGCAAAAGGCAAAAAAGAACAGACCCCUCCCUCAGUGGCCGGUCCAGUUCCAGGGCCACAUUCAUGGGCUCUAAGGCCAUCUGUUGACUGGGGGAUAAAAUAAGAAAUCGCCACAACAGCAGGUGACCAGCAGAGGGAGCCAAAUGCAUGGGAAAUACAAGUACUGGGAAUUAAACAAGAACCAACCUACAGGGAGACUGAGGAGGAGUGGUAUGAACCGACCUACAGGGAGACUGAGGAGGAGUGGUAUGAACCGACCUACAGGGAGACUGAGGAGGAGUGGUAUGAACCGACCUACAGGGAGACUGAGGAGGAGUGGUAUGAACCAACCUACCAAGACAACGCCCCAACGCAUGAAUACCUAUGGGCAUCAGUGCUGAAGGAACUAACAUUGGACUAAGUGCUACUUAAUACGUAAUGUAAUGGCACACUGUGUUAAGAUAGAUUCUACUCCCGAACAUCUUCCCCCAAACGGAGUGUCUAAAAGAGGUAUAAAAGGAGGAUAGAUCAGUGCCAAGGCAUGAUCCUCAACCUAUAUGAUUUGGACAUCAGAGAAUCAUCAGACCAGGUAAAUUACUUGUACUAUACUCUGUUUGUAUUGACUACUUUGAUCUCAAGGCGCGAGCAAACUAUUGACUGGUAUAUCUUAAAUAAUUGUGUUGUACACUGGAAUCUCACACCUUAUAAAAAGAAUAAGUGAACGAGUUUGUGUACAAGAGGACUUCAACCCUCAACAGCGCGAGGCGCGGACAAAUCUAGAUAGCAACAACGUUCCAUCUUUGGUGUGUCAGUAACAAUCGCAGUUCGGCAAGAUUGGAAAAGCCCAGAAAUAGUUAAAGCCUCGUAGUAGCCAAGAGUCGAUAAAAAGCAAUCAAUUACUAAACAGUAGGCAGUAAAAACCAUUCGGACUAAAUAAGAAGAUUAUAGUCGUAUAAACAGCAGAGGUCAAAAUAUUACUACUCUUAUAAAGAGCAGUUUCGGGAAGGACCAAGGGAACAGAGCGUCAAGGUAAAUAUAUGGGUGUUUGCUUUGUUUAAAGAGUCAUAAAGAAGUGUGUUAAGCUUUUUACCUUUGCAGAUAUGACUUGGCAUAGUACAGCACAUAGCAUAGCACAUAGCAUAGCACAUAGUACAGCACAUAGCAUAGCACAUAGUAUAGCACAUAGCAUAGCACAUAGCACAUAGUAUAGCACAUAGCAUAGCACAUAGCAUAGCACAUAGUAUAGCACAUAGCACAUAGCAUAGCACAUAGUACAGCGCAUUAAGGAUUGAUUGAGCAUUAUUGAUGUAUUAGGAAACUGUAGAACCAUUGAAUUGUAAUAACGUGUAUAAAGACAAAAAACAGAGUGACUUAAUAAAAGCUUGAAACUUUGACAACUAGGCCAGAUUAACGAUCUGGAGAGCAAACGCCUUUGACACUCUCACUGAACAGAAAGUGACCCUGGUUAUAGGUUAAAGUGAUUGCACUAAAGAAUA